rnacentral:misc_RNA from 1 species
GAACCGUCCCAUAGUUGGUGACGUCACUGUUUUUCUCUCUUGCGAAGGUCGAUUGAAGGAUAAGGUAUCUGCUCAGAAGUAAUUUCUCAGCAAUUCCCCGGAGAGAGAAGAAAAUAUUGUUUAAGCCUGCUGUACAUUCAAGUUAGUCGCCCAAACAAUAUUGGAAUGUCGUCGAAGUCUCGCCAGAGAGGACCAGUGACGUCACCAACUAUGGGACGGUUCGGAGGCAGAAAAACGAGUCAAGCGUAGACUCUCUCGUAAAAUGGGCUGGCGAAUGAGGAAUACCUUCCGAAUGAUACCUUUAUAUAUUCCAAUCUGACCAUUGUAGAUAAAUAUGGACGAUCAAGAGCUAAUCUCUGGCAAUUUAGGGCCUCAUCCACACUAAUUUAGGACUUCUUGCGACCUCGCCUCUUUCAGUUCAACUACAACAGUUACGGUGAUGGAUUCAAAGUGCUGAGCAACGGGAACAGUGAGGGAGAGCAAUGGCUUCCAAUUGGAGAAAGAAAAAGACGACGACAAUGACGGAAGACGGCAGUGGUGGCUUCAAAGCGAGGUUGCAACUGGAGAACUUAG